AAGCAGUGAACUUAAGCCCCAGUAAACGGCGGCCGUAACUAUAACGGUCCUAAGGUAGCGAAAUUCCUUGUCGGGUAAGUUCCGACCCGCACGAAAGGCGUAACGAUUUGGGCACUGUCUCAACAACAGACUCGGUGAAAUUGUAAUUCCGGUGAAGAUGCCGGAUACCUGCGACAGGACGGAAAGACCCCAUGGAGCUUUACUGUAGCUUGACAUUGGGUCUUGGUACUACAUGUACAGGAUAGGUGGGAGGCUUUGAAACCAGGACGCCAGUUUUGGCGGAGCCAUCCUUGGGAUACCACCCUUGUAGUACUGGGACUCUAACCAUAGGCCAUGAAUCUGGUCUUGGGACACUGUCAGGUGGGCAGUUUGACUGGGGCGGUCGCCUCCCAAAAGGUAACGGAGGCGCUCAAAGGUUCUCUCAGUACGGUCGGAAAUCGUACGUAGAGUGUAAAGGCAAAAGAGAGCUUGAUUGCAAGACAUACAGGUCGAGCAAGGAUGAAAAUCGGACUUAGUGAUCCGGUGGUUCUGCGUGGAAGGGCCAUCGCUCAACGGAUAAAAGCUACCCUGGGGAUAACAGGCUUAUCUCCCCCAAGAGUCCACAUCGACGGGGAGGUUUGGCACCUCGAUGUCGGCUCAUCACAUCCUGGGGCUGUAGUAG
rnacentral:rRNA from 1 species